rnacentral:rRNA from 1 species
AACGAACGCUGGCGGCGUGCCUAAUACAUGCAAGUCGAACGCAUUUUCUUUCACCGUAGCUUGCUACACCGAAAGAAAAUGAGUGGCGAACGGGUGAGUAACACGUGGGUAACCUGCCCAUCAGCGGGGGAUAACACUUGGAAACAGGUGCUAAUACCGCAUAAUUCCAUUUACCGCAUGGUAGAUGUAUGAAAGGCGCUUUUGCGUCACUGAUGGAUGGACCCGCGGUGCAUUAGCUAGUUGGUGGGGUAACGGCCUACCAAGGCUGCGAUGCAUAGCCGACCUGAGAGGGUGAUCGGCCACACUGGGACUGAGACACGGCCCAGACUCCUACGGGAGGCAGCAGUAGGGAAUCUUCGGCAAUGGACGCAAGUCUGACCGAGCAACGCCGCGUGAGUGAAGAAGGUUUUCGGAUCGUAAAACUCUGUUGUUAGAGAAGAACAAGGAUGAGAGUGGAAAGUUCAUCCCUUGACGGUAUCUAACCAGAAAGCCACGGCUAACUACGUGCCAGCAGCCGCAGUAAAAC